GCGGUAAUUCCAGCUCCAA
rnacentral:ncRNA from 2 species